GAUGAACGCUGGCGGCGUGCCUAAUACAUGCAAGUCGAGCGAACAGACGAGGAGCUUGCUCCUCUGACGUUAGCGGCGGACGGGUGAGUAACACGUGGAUAACCUACCUAUAAGACUGGGAUAACUUCGGGAAACCGGAGCUAAUACCGGAUAAUAUAUUUAACCGCAUGGUUCAAUAGUGAAAGACGGUUUUGCUGUCCCUUAUAGAUGGAUCCGCGCCGCAUUAGCUAGUUGGUAAGGUAACGGCUUACCAAGGCAACGAUGCGUAGCCGACCUGAGAGGGUGAUCGGCCACACUGGAACUGAGACACGGUCCAGACUCCUACGGGAGGAAGCAGUAGGGAAUCUUCCGCAAAGGGCGAAAGCCUGACGGAGCAACGCCGCGUGAGUGAUGAAGGUCUUCGGAUCGUAAAACUCUGUUAUUAGGGAAGAACAAAUGUGUAAGUAACUAUGCACGUCUUGACGGUACCUAAUCAGAAAGCCACGGCUAACUACGUG
rnacentral:rRNA from 1 species